AGCAGCCGCGGUAAUUCCAGCUCCAAUAGCGUAUAUUAAAGUUGUUGCAGUUAAAAAGCUCGUAGUUGAAUUUCGGGGUUAGUAGGUUGGUCAUGCCUCUGGUAUGUACUGGUCUCACUGAUUCCUCCUUCCUGAUGAACUGUAAUGCCAUUAAUUUGGUGUUGCGGGGAAUUUGGACUGUUACUUUGAAAAAAUUGAGUGUUUAAAGCAGGCUCACGCUUGAAUACAUUAGCAUGGAAUAACGAAAUAGGACGUUUGAUUCUAUUUUGUUGGUUUCUAGGAUCGACGUAAUGAUUAAUAGGGAUAGUUGGGGGCAUUAGUAUUCAAUUGUCAGAGGUGAAAUUCUUGGAUUUAUUGAAGACUAACUACUGCGAAAGCAUUUGCCAAGGAUGUUUUCAUUAAUCAAGAACGAAAGUUAGGGGAUCGAAGACGAUCAGAUACCGUCGUAGUCUUAACCAUAAACUAUGCCGACUAGGGAUCGGAUGAUGUUAAUUUUUUAAUUGUACUCAUUCGGCGUCCC
rnacentral:rRNA from 1 species